GUACUGACGCUGAUGGACGAAAGCGUGGGUAGCGAACGGGAUUAGAUACCCCGGUAGUCCACGCCGUAAACGAUGGAUACUAGCUGUGGGGACUUCGGUCUCCGUGGCCAAGCGAAAGUGAUAAGUAUCCCACCUGGGGAGUACGUUCGCAAGAAUGAAACUCAAAGGAAUUGACGGGGGCCCGCACAAGCGGUGGAGCAUGUGGUUUAAUUCGAUGAUACGCGAGGAACCUUACCAGGGCUUAAAUGCAGGCUGCAUGGGGUAGAGAUACCCCUUUCUUCGGACCGCCUGCAAGGUGCUGCAUGGUUGUCGUCAGCUCGUGCCGUGAGGUGUCAGGUUAAGUCCUAUAACGAGCGCAACCCCUACCGUUAGUUGCCAGCAUGUCAAGAUGGGGACUCUAACGGGACUGCCGGUGCAAACCGUGAGGAAGGUGGGGACGACGUCAAAUCAUCACGGCCCUUACGUCCUGGGCUACACACGUGCUACAAUGGCCGGUACAGAGGGAAGCCACCCCGCAAGGGGGCGCGGAUCUACAAAACCGGUCACAGUUCGGAUCGGGGUCUGCAACUCGACCCCGUGAAGCUGGAAUCGCUAGUAAUCGGAUAUCAGCCAUGAUCCGGUGAAUACGUUCCCGGGCCUUGUACACACCGCCCGUCAAGCCAUGGAAGCCGGGAGUGCCUGA
rnacentral:rRNA from 1 species